UUACGGGGCAGAAGCGUCAUGAUGGAAAGGUCCAAAGGAAAUGUUCUAGGUCCAAGGUUUAGUUUAGUUUAGUUUAGUUUAGUUUGGAUCCAUGUUCGGCUGCUGUUUGGAUGCUACUCCAUAUUACAGUAAUUACAUCAAUAAAAAACUUUGUAGAAAUGAAAUAAAAAA